UGUUUGUCUGUGUGUGUUGAUAGCUGGUGUCAUCAGACGGCUCCCACUCAGAUGGAUGUUCAGUGGCAGAGAGUCAGUCCGAGCGGCCGCCGUCUCACGAGAGAAGCCAAGGCAUUGGCGAUUCCAGACCCCCGUCUUUCCAUCCUAAGGCUGCAGGCAGCCGGCACGGUGUGGCUGAUGAGACGGAGACUGAUUCGGUCGUGUCACACAGGAGGGAGAGAGACAGAUCGCGCAGGAAACACUCACAUGAGCACUCUGGAGGAAGGCUUAAUGGCUACUCACGGGGCGGCAAAGGCAUGGAUCUGGGAGGGUAUGACAUCUGUGACAGCCGUUCUUCCCUCAUGAGCAGUGAACUGGAAUCAAGCAGCUGUUUUGACUCGGAUGACGGCUCCAC